UAGAAAUACCCUUAGUUUCUAAGGUGCCAUAGGACUCCUUGUUGUUUUUACAGAUACAGACUAACACAGCUACCCCUCUGAGACAUCUGUUAUAUAACUGAACUUCAAGAACUGAACUCAGGUUGGUAUGUAUAUUGAUCUUUUAACCAAUACUCUUAUUCUUUUUUAAUACAUUUUAGUUUAGCUAAUAAGAAUUGGCUUUAAGCGUGUAUCUGGGAUAGGUCUGAAAUACUCAUUGACCUGGAGGGUGAUGUGUCCAAUCCUUUUGGAUCGGUAGAACUUUAUUUGACUGGGGUGUUUGGAUAGUGGCCUGAGGCUGGAUACUUUGUGGGAACUGCGUGGUUUGGACUUUGAUUGACCUCCAAUAAGGUCAGUAAGGCCAGAAGCUGUUUGAGCUGGCUGGGGAUUAUAAAUAUUGGGAAAACCACCAGCUUUGGGGAUUGGCCAUCUCAUUUCUUGCAGUGCUCUCUAACUGAGUGAUCUAGAUGGUUCCCCUGGGAACCCACAAAUCACAGGGAGCUAAAGUGGCUUUGCUUUGCAGUGAGGGCCCGGGCUUAGUUUUUUUACAGGACUCAAGCAUGGAGAAUGGAACUGGCUGGAAAAAAGACAAUUCUACUUCAUGACAACUUUUGAUGUUUUUGACUUUUCUUUUUUCAUUCCACACUGGACUCAAAAGAACUUCCAAACAUUUUUGCAAAAUUAAAUAGGGUCAAAACAUCAUUGUUUGGAUCAGAACAGCCAGGUUUUUGUUCUCUCUUUGUAGCUCUUCCCCUUCUGCCUCCAUUCUGUUGAAACUUGCAUAAAUAUUGAUACAUCUUCACAACAUUUUGUUUUUGAUGCAAUGGGCCUUUUCAGAAAUAAAGUUUAGUCAAUACCUUUCCAGACCACUGUCACAGAAAAGUAACAAGUUUGCCAUCCUGGGUAGAUUCCUUGCAUAUUUCUGAGCUGGACUUUGGAACAACUGAAGAAGUGUUUACUCCCUAUGAAAUCAUCCCAGGUUUUACAGUAAGUUGGGUGCAUUGUGGGACAGGUCUGUAUGUGUUACACACUGUAGAUGAGUCCAAUAAAAACACUUCAGGGAAGAAUUGUUUUAGACAUAGUCCAUAAGGCUGGUAAUUACUUGCUUUAAUAUCAAGCUGUAUUGCAUUGAUCCAGUGAGCUUCUGAAGACUGGAAAGAAUACAAACACCGAUAAUUCAUUAUUACAGAGCCAGCUGCCCAUUCUUUAUUAAAAAGAGCAAGUCACAGGAACUCCCAAGGAAGGAAGAUAUUUGGGUGGUAGACCACUAUCUGCAUUUUGUAUUUGAUCACAGUGGGACCAAUGUUACCUGUAAGCUGUGCAUUCGUGCGGCGACACAGGAGAGGUUCAGAUCCCACCCAGCUGAUGAGAAGAGCAUUUACAGCUAAGUUUUGUUUCUACUGGCAGUGCACAUUCACAUAUGCUUUGGUGCACAUGCCACAAAUUUAUUCUGCACUAUUUCUCGGCUUGACAUCAUGUCUCUGAUCUUUCCCUGUAAAUAUGAGUCACAUCUCUUUGUCUUUCAGGGAAUAUAAUGUUAUCAUCUGUAGUACAGUGAACUUUUGCCCAUUUCUUUCGGAUUAAUGUUAGAUCCAAUGUCGUGAAUAAUUCACAGAGCCUUAUUUAAUAUAAUUUUUCUGACAGCCAGUGGCUGGGAAUAGCAUUUUGGGACAUGCUGUUUGCAACCAAUGAACUCCAAAAAUAAAGAAUUGAUGCUUAUCCCGUGUGAACUGGGAGCAUACAGUAUGGGAGGGAAAUAAAGAAGAGUAGGCAUGUACCUUUCAAAGGAAUUGCUGAUAAUUCUUUCAUAAGAAUAAUGUGAAAAAGCUGAAUAUUGACAUAUCCUCACAGUUUUCUCUUUCUUGCUGUCACAUGGCAUGAUACUAACCUGUAUAAUGAUCAGUUACACAUUGGCACAAACUGGUCAGACAAGACAGGAUUUCCCCAAUGUGAUGGUGCUGGCAGUUGUGGUGUCAGGCCACAUAAGGAAACUACACAUUGUAGAUUGAAAACAAACUUCGACAACUGGAGGACUCUGGGCUCUUCCAUGUCUUCCUUGCUGCAAAACCCUGCUGCAUUUCCAAAGAGUUUGUUUUCGGUAUGCAAUGUAUGUGUCAGGUGUGCAUUUGCCAGUAUCCCAGUGAAGAUAGCUUCUGUCAUCUACGCAUAUCUGUGUGGGUGUGCAGGAUCUCAGGGUUUGUGUUGUGUGUGAAAGUGUGUAGGAGAGUGAUCUGAUACAGCCCCUGCACAGAUAGAUAUGUAUUCGGUAUAUGUGCCUACAAGUUGCUGGUACUUGUGCAUAUUGGUUUGUGUUGUGUGUGGCUGUUUUCAUGCAGAGGUGAGGUUCUAGUGCUUGUGCAUUCAGGAGGUUGUCACACCAGACUUCACAUACUCACGUGGUAGCCUUCUCUCCCCAUUUUAUAGGGGGAAACUGAGGCACAGAGCUAUGCUUGACUUGCUCAAGAACACACAGCAUUCCAUGGCAAAGCCAGGGCUAGACCCCAGAAGUCUUCUCCCUUGUCAGUGGUGUGACUCCUGCUGUGCUUGUGCAGAAAACAUCAUUGCUACUACUUGUUAUUUACAGAGCCUGGUACUUUUACAAAGCACAUACAUUCUGCCCCUCCACCUAAGCCACUGAAAGUCUAAGUGAAGGAUUUGGCAGCAGGGGAGAAGAACAUGAAGAAGUCAGGGUUACAGGAGUCAGAGUAAGAAGUCCUCCAGCUUGACAGUAUUUUGACACCACAGGAGAGUCCCGAUUAUCUGAUGUAAACGUGACCAAGGGGUGGUCGGAUUAAUGAGAAUGUCAGAUAAAACAGAAACUGUUAGAGAAGAUAUUCUUCAUUUCCCUGCCUAGAAUCAUGCUGGUGCAGUUGGCUGCUCUGUUCCAGUCCAGACAUAGGUGCAUUUCAGUGGUGGCUGAGUAAUCCUUGUAUAUCUGCACAGUCUGUAAAAUGCUCUGGGACUGUCCAGGAUAAAAGGUACUCUACAGAUCUAUUAUUUCUACUGUCGCUAUUACUGCUCCUCCGCAUAGAUGGGUAUCUAUCAGGCUUUGUACUAUGCAUUAGAAGUAAACCAUAAAGUGUAUUGUCUGCAGAAAAUAGAUGCUGCUUUUACAUUUGUCCUGUUGACCGUGCACAUAUAGAAAACGAAGUAAUGAUUUUUGCAUAUCUUUUAUUCCUAUGUAGACUACAGCAAACAUUCCAGUGCUGCCUCCAUUGCCAGCUAACUGACAAUCAAUAGCAUCAGAAAUGUUUAUCAUUACAUAUAACCACGUCAGACAAACCAUUGGCAGGUGGGCUGCACGUCAUCUUCAUACCGGGCUGAAGUCCUAGGUACACUCUCUCCAGUGUGUACUAAUGUGUCCUGGGGAGAGGCUUCGGAAAUUCUAUAGAUGAGGACUCAUCCUGGUGUUGAUGGUGGACUGGAUAGUCCCACCUGUACACAGUAGCAGCUCCCUCAAAGAGCUCUUUUGAAAAAAGGCGCUAUGUAAUGCAAACUGUGCUUUUUCGAAAGAGCAUCCAGAAUGCCUGGGUGCUCUCUUUCAAAAAAGCGGCUUGCUUUUUCGAAUGUACUGGUUGGAGUCUAGACGCUCUUUUUUCAAAAGAGUCUUUUUUGAAAGUAUCUUUCAAAAGUAUCUUUCAAAAAAGCCUCUUUCGAAAGAGGCUUGUAGUCUAGACGUAGCCUUAGUGGCUGUGAUGACAACUCUGGAGUCAGUGUUAGGAGAUGACACACCCACUUCUCCAUGCAGAAUACCUUCCCUGGUGUAAAUCAGUAUCACACUACUGAAAUCAACAGUGCUGCAUGUGAUGUCACCACUGCCCUGAGUCAGUGACCAACUCCCGAGGCCAGGGUAACUGAGAAACUUAGAAUUAAGUUUGAGAAGGCUCAGUCUGUAACUGCUCCAGUGGCUAGAUAUCAAUGAGUAGAGCUGGUUAGAAAUGGGAUUUUUUUCCAUUGACAAUUUUGAGCUUCAUCAAAAUAUCAAAAUCUAGAAUAUUUCCAUUCUAAAAUGCUGCUGCGGUGCCUCAUGCUCUUGUUAUCUUCUAUAGCUCAGACAACAUCUUCCAUGAUCUACUCUCAUAGUGCAUCAUGGUUGUCACUCUUUGUGACAACUGUUACUUAGUUGAAAACCCAAUUUUCUGUUGAAAAAUAUUUUUGACAGAAAGUUUUCACCCAGUCCUAGCAGAAAGCUAGGCCUCAGAGUGUAGCCUUUCCCUGCAUCCCCACAUCCACCCUGCCUGUGAUGCUGCUGGGCCCACUGCAGACAGGAGCUGCUCUGGAUGACUGGAGCAGCCCCUGUCCUCGGUGCACUCCAUGGGGCUGGAGUAGCCCCUUGCCCACAGCACUAGCUCUGGCCCUGGCCCAGCCUUGGAAGAGGGUUGGAGCAGUGGAGCCAGAGCUGAGGCAGAGCCAGCCAGUUAGGGCCCAGCUGGGGCUGUAUAAAUAAGGGCUCCUGGAGGGGCAGAGACAGACUCACUCCUGCACCAACUGUGGAGCAGGAAGGACCUAGCUGCCAGAGAUGCUGGAGGCUUCCUGAUACAGAGCAGGGCUGGGGAAAGGCGGGCAGAGCUGGGCAUGCUCCCAGGCUGCAGGGUCUGACACUAGGCCUGAGGCUACUAGAACUGCAGGGAGGCAGCCAGGACAGCAGAAAGCAACAGGUCCACACUCCUUGCCAAUGAUGAGUGGCCAUGUCAGAUAGCAGUUUGCCCCUGAGGCAGGGGCUAGAUGAUGACUGGCAGAGGGUCACUGAGGUAAGGUGGGCAUAGGAGAUUGUGGGUUCACUGGGAGGGAGGACCCCAGAGUGUGGGGGCACUGCAGCAGGGCAGUAUCCAGAGGGGAGGAUUGCUGCUGUCUGGGAGGGACGUGGCUCCUGACACAAGGUGGGGGAGCUAUUAUUAAAAGGUAACAACAGGUGAGACACCGGCCAGAAGAGGGCGCUCCAUCACUGAAUGAAGCAGAUUCCCUGAAUGACCAGCAGGAGGCGCCCUGGCGGUGAGUCCCACCCUGUUACACUUUCACAUCCCUGUUGUGAACAGCUCCAACUUGAGAGCAUGCCCAGGAGGGGGUGAUUAUCAGCACCAGCAUUUUGCAGGAGAGUUUGAUGUUCAGAUGCCUUGUUCUUUUUUAGUGCCCACAGCUUGUAUUUAACCCUUGGAUAACUUUUAGUUAAACAGCCCAGAACUUUAACACAACACCAACACUGCCUGGUGCUGAUUACAGCUCACAGCUCACUGGAAACCAGAAGCCUGCUUCUCAGCUUGGAAAGUGGCCUGUGAUCCCUGCAGCCACAAGCAGCAAGAGCAGCUACUCGGCUAGAGUUUGGUGCUAAAUUUCCUGAGCACCUAAAAGAGGAUCCAGCCUUUCUGCCGUUGUGUCUCCCUAUCUGCUCAAACAAUUCAGGAUCUCGGCUCUGCCAAGGCAAUUAUGCGUGUGUUAUCAAAGCUAUUAUUCCAAAGGGGUUUAUGUGGUCAUUAAAAUAAUGAAAUAUGAAGGAGGAUGACUCGCGGCAGCUGCUGAGUAAUGCGUCUCGAGAGCUGGAUUUGAAGCUUUUUCAAUUUCCAUUCUCAGCGUGUGCAUGGGUCUUGGAUGAAGCGACAGCACUUCAUCUGCACACUAGCAGCUUGCAUAGCUAGUUUUGAAAGGCCCCAGGAAUGCAUAACAACAAGGAGCCACUCAUGCUGGCUGGGAAGAGGCUGAGUUAGAGGAGACAUCUCUGGUGCAUUGCGAGGGACAAGCCCCACAUAAAAUAUACUGCAUUUAGUGCAGCCUUUACAAUACACAUUCCAGGCAGUCACCAGCUGUUCACCUGCAGCAUGGAAGGGCUUUCAUAGGUAUGAAGCCAGCUAACAGGUGUUACUUUGCCAGUCUCUAGGCGGAGGAAGAACAAAAGCUGCUCCUUACUGUUACCCAUGGCUCAAAGUGAGAGUAAAAAGCAGUUUACUUUUAUACAACAUCUGCCUUUUCCUUUUCCCCUAGCGCCAAGAGUUUGAUCAGCCAGCUCAAAGCAGGAAGCAGAAUUUGAGCCAGUGCUUCCUACACAUUUGACAAGGCUGAUCCAGAUGUUGCACACUCCCAAUGCUGACUCAGCCUGCACAUCUGGAGUGGCACAGAGCUGAUGGAGCGGAUGGAUGAACCUGGCCCGUAGUCACUAUUCACUUGCGUAGUCACACACAGGAGUCAGGAAAAGAAGAACAAGUUGUUGUAUGUGAAAGACUCUGCCUCACACGUUGUUGUAUGAAUCCUGUUAGCUGUGUGCUUUUCUGGUGUUUUAUAUCCUGCGAGUGAAGGGUUAAUGAGUUCUAAAAAUAUAUUCAUGUGGGCUAAACAGAUCUAUCUAUCUAUCCCAUGAUCUUGGUAUCUGAAGCUACUGAGCUGCUAUUUUCCUGUUGGCUAAAAAUUCCAAGGAAGCCAUUAAAGGUGAUACCUUGUUGCAAGCUGGUACUACUCGCCCCUUGUCUAUUUAAUUAGCUGGAGUCUAGUUCUUUUCUGUAUGUCCCUGUUUUUUCAAUACACGGCAAGUACAGCUGUCAAGGCAGUGACUGAGGAACAAAGCUUUUGUGGCCCAAUAUGCCAACUCCAAUGUCUCCUUCAGUUCAAAUUAACCCUGAUUCUGUCUUUAGGAUGUUUAAUCCUCGUAAAAAUAUAUCCCUUCAUUUUCAUUUCUUAAAGCCAUUUCACAUCACACGCCCAGCCCACUCCUGCGAUAGUACACUCAGCAACAAAAGAACCUGGCAGCCUGUCCCCAAGGCCUGGGUGAUGUGUCACAGGUUAGGCUUUGACCUGAGCACAUAUCUUUUAACUGCAGAUUGCACUCUAAACACAAACGUGAGUCUGGGUUACAACCUUAAGCUACACGUGUCACUUCUCCAUCUGCCUCUGCGUACCUGACUUUGCAAUAGUGAAACACCAGGGGCGAUGGGAGUCCUCUCAUAUUUACUGAUGAGCUAAUUAAAAUGCUU